UUCGGUAAAUAUGACUAGCAUAUUCAAAAUUGACAUUUUUGGAGGUUUUUUUAGAUGCAAACGAACGGAACAGUAAAAUGGUUUAAUGCAGAAAAAGGUUUCGGAUUCAUUCAAGUAGAAGGCGGAGACGAUGUUUUCGUACACUUCAGCGCUAUCCAAGGUGAAGGUUUCAAAACUUUGGACGAAGGUCAACGCGUUCAAUUCAACAUCGUUCAAGGCAACCGUGGUCCACAAGCUGAGAACGUAGUAAAACUGUAAGUCUCCUUCUAAAAAAACUGUCCGUUCGCGGGCAGUUUUUUUG
rnacentral:other from 1 species